rnacentral:rRNA from 1 species
GAAUAGCUCAGUAACACGUGGCCAAACUACCCUUCGGAACACAAUACCCUCGGGAAACUGAGGCUAAUAGUGUAUAUCGUACCACCACUGGAAUGAGUGGUACGCCAAACGCUCCGGCGCCGAAGGAUGUGGCUGCGGCCGAUUAGGUAGACGGUGGGGUAACGGCCCACCGUGCCAAUAAUCGGUAUGGGUCAUGAGAGUGAGAACCCAGAGACGGAAUCUGAGACAAGAUUCCGGGCCCUACGGGGCGCAGCAGGCGCGAAACCUUUACACUACACGACAGUGCGAUAGGGGGAUCCCAAGUGCACAGGCAUAGCGCCUGUGCUUUUCGGCACCCUAAGGCGGUGCCAGAAUAAGGGCUGGGCAAGACCGGUGCCAGCCGCCGCGGUAAUACCGGCAGCCCAAGUGAUGGCCGAUCUUAUUGGGCCUAAAGCGUCCGUAGCUGGCCGCGCAAGUCCAUCGGGAAAUCCACCUGCUCAACAGGUGGGCGCCCGGUAGAAACUGCGUGGCUUGGGACCGGAAGGCGCGACGGGUACGUCCGGGGUAGGAGUGAAAUCCCGUAAUCCUGGACGGACCGCCGAUGGCGAAAGCACGUCGCGAGAACGGAUCCGACAGUGAGGGACGAAAGCCAGGGUCUCGAACCGGAUUAGAUACCCCGGUAGUC